AUGGUACUCUACUAUAUUCUACUGUACUAUUUUGUAAUAGAAUCCACAGAAUCAAAAACUCUUCAAGCUCAAUUAUAUUGCCGUUAUGUAGUGGAAAAUUAGUGAGGAAAGAUUAUUGUUCACAUUGUUAAAGGGAGUUCAGUUUGUUUCACAUUAUGAUCUGAAACACGAUUAGAUCCUUUAAACUGUGGAAAAUUCACAAUGUUCCUCAAUCUUGUUACUCAGGUAAAUGUUCCUCAGGAUCCAGGAUCCCACUUUUUUCCAAGUCUGGUUCCCGGAUUCAUAUUACAGUAUAUGAGUUUCCCUUACGUCUUAGACCAGCCUAGACCUAGGCCUUCUAGUUCUAGUCUUAUUUA